AUACCGGCGGCUCGAGUGGUGGCCACUAUUACUGGGCUUAAAGCGUCCGUAGCUGGGUAGUUAAGUCUCUUGGGAAAUCUUCCGGCUCAACCGGAAGGCGUCUAAGGGAUACUGGCUACCUAGGGAUCGGGAGAGGUGAGAGGUACUCUGGGGGUAGGAGUGAAAUCCUGUAAUCCUUAGGGGACCACCUGUGGCGAAGGCGUCUCACCAGAACGACUCCGACAGUGAGGGACGAAAGCUGGGGGAGCAAACCGGAUUAGAUACCCGGGUAGUCCCAGCUGUAAACUAUGCGUGUUAGGUGUAUCGGUGACCACGAGUUACCGAGGUGCCGAAGGGAAACCGUGAAACGCGUCGCCUGGGAAGUACGGUCGCAAGGCUGAA
rnacentral:rRNA from 1 species